CGGCAGGCUUAAUACAUGCAAGUCGAACGGUAACAGGUCCAGCAAUGGAUGCUGACGAGUGGCGCACGGGUGCGUAACACGUAUGCAACCUACCCAUCACCGGGGAAUAACCCUGAGAAAUUAGGGCUAAUACCCCAUGGUAUCCGAUUCCGGCAUCGGGAUUUGAUUAAAGAUUUAUCGGUGAUGGAUGGGCAUGCGCCCCAUUAGCUAGUUGGUGAGGUAACGGCUCACCAAGGCCACGAUGGGUAGGGGACCUGAGAGGGUUAUCCCCCACACUGGUACUGAGACACGGACCAGACUCCUACGGGAGGCAGCAGUAAGGAAUAUUGGGCAAUGGGCGCGAGCCUGACCCAGCCAUGCCGCGUGCAGGAAGACGGCCCUAUGGGUUGUAAACUGCUUUUACACGGGAAUAAUCGCCCCCACGUGUGGGGGUUUGCACGUACCGUGUGAAUAAGCACCGGCUAACUCCGUGCCAGCAGCCGCGGUAAUACGGAGGGUGCGAGCGUUAUCCGGAUUUAUUGGGUUUAAAGGGUGCGUAGGCUGGUACUUAAGUCAGUGGUGAAAUCCACCGGCUCAACUGGUGAACUGCCGUUGAUACUGGGUACCUAGAGUUUAGUUGACGCGGGCGGAAUGUGUCAUGUAGCGGUGAAAUGCAUAGAGAUGACACAGAACACCCGUAGCGAAGGCAGCUCGCGAAGCUAACACUGACGCUGAUGCACGAAAGCGUGGGGAUCAAACAGGAUUAGAUACCCUG
rnacentral:rRNA from 1 species